GUGCCAGCCGCCGCGGUAAUACGUAGGAGACGAGCGUUAUCCGGAUUUACUGGGCGUAAAGCGGGUGUAGGCGGCCUUUCAAGUCGGAUGUGAAAUCUCCCGGCUUAACUGGGAGGGGCCAUUCGAAACUGUUGGGCUAGAGGACAGCAGAGGGAAGUGGAAUUCCCGGUGUAGUGGUGAUAUGCGUAGAUAUCGGGAGGAACACCAGUGGCGAAGGCGGCUUCCUGGGCUGUUGCUGACGCUGAGGCCCUAAAGCGUGGGGAGCGAACAGGAUUAGAUACCCUGGUAGUCCACGCCUUAAACGAUGGACACUAGGUAUGGGGAGUAUCGACCCUCUCUGUGCCGAAGCUAACGCUUUAAGUGUCCCGCCUGGGGACUACGGCCGCAAGGCUAAAACUUAAAUGAAUUGGCGGGG
rnacentral:rRNA from 1 species